rnacentral:tRNA from 2 species
GGGUUAUGGCGCAGUUGGUAGCGCGUUUGAAUGGCAUUCAAAAGGCCGAGGGUUCGAAUCCCUUUAACUCC